ACAGAAAAUGCAAAUAGUCUGAGCCAGAAAUAAUUGACAGAAGGCUAGUGUGGCUGCUGAACAGAGAGAGAGCAAGCAGGAAGGAAGAUCAGGGUGGAGUAAAAGACAAGACCGUGCAAAGCUUUAUCAGCUACAUCAGAUAAUUUAGAUUUUAUCCUAAUGUAGUGAGAAGGUUUUGAAGGAUCUUAAAUAGUGAUACAACAGGCUCCUUCGGGCUGCAAUGUGUAAAAUUGAAGGUGCCUGCUUCCCCUUCAUCUUCUGCCAUGAUUGUAAGUUUCCUGAGGCCUCCCCAGACAUGCGGAACUUUUUACAAACUGAAGUCAAGGAGUACCUUCAAUCAAGUCUCCCACAGGGAAAGAAAAAAAGCCAACAGAAUUACCAAAGCCCUUUCUUCUCUUUUCUUUUCCAGGAUUAUAUCAUUCUCCAACUCUCAGUCAUAAUCUAG
rnacentral:lncRNA from 1 species